UAAAAUUCGUAAAUUGUAUGCACGUAAGCCCUGUUUGGAUAUAAAUACAGAUGCCACCUCCAUUUGUGUUCAAUUUGCAGCGGCAUCCAUUUACAGUUUGGUCAACUAGUUUGGGGGACCUUUCACAUGUGCUUGCACAGAUUAGGGUUUCACUAAUUGUGAUCGCAACAUGGCACUUUUUAUAAUUGCGGGCAUGUGUAUCGGAUUAAUACAUUCAGCGUCUGCGCAAGGAUCACAACGAUCAUACUACAGCUACAGCGAUAGUUCCUAUAGUGACUAUGGGACAGCCAUUUUGGUUGGCGCCAUAGGACUGUCGUUCAGCAUAUUAUGUCUGAUCUGCAUUUUCGUGGGUCUGAUCUGCGUCUGUGCAAAGAAAUGUUGUCGCAAAACUGUGCAACCAGCUCCUGGUUUAGCAUUUGUUAACGCAGUACCUAGUUAUAUGCCGUAUGGACAGCCAUAUAUUCAUGGUCAACAUGUGAUGCAAAAUCAACCCGGUAUGCAUGGUCAACCAGUCAUGCAUGGUCAACCAGUCAUGCAUGGUCAACCAGUUAUGUCUGGUCAUCCGCAACAGACCUUCAACCCAUCAGCAGCUAGUUAGGGAACAGAUCGGUUCACCUCGAGUGAAAACACUACGCUCACUUCAGAAUUACUAAACAAUGUUUCUUGCUAGUUGAAUACAUAUUUUUUUCGGUGUAAAAUACUGUUAGAACUGAAUUUUCUUUAAACAAUUGUUGUGGCUUUUUCAUUUGUUGCUUCUACGUUUCUGUAUGCCAAUUAUAAGCAGGGGGGCACGCGUAUACGGGAGCUUACCGCGUUUAAGUGAGAAAGUUGUUACAAAACUUCAAAGAUGGCGUCGUUUGUUGGAUUUUCUUAAAGGAAGGGAGGAUAUUUUCACCCGAUGAUGCAGUUUAAAGGGCGAAAAUAAGUGCAUCUUUCGUUGCAGUAUAUGUAAUGAGGAAUUUUACAUCAGGGGAGGAUUGAGAUAUCAUGCCCCAUUCAUGGACCACAUGAGUUUAAAUGUAGAAUAUGCAAGAAAGAACCCUUCAACAAAGCCGGACUAAAACAGCAAAUAACAUAACAAAACAUGUACAGCUGAUGUUUGUAGUGUUUUUGUUUUAUUUAUAAAGUCUACAUAGACACGUCUGGCAUAUAAUUGCUAUGAGUGCUACUUACUUACACGUUUUAUUCCGUAUAUGUCAUGAUGCUAGUUUCUCACUUUGUUAUGAAAAUAAACCAUUAUCUGUGUUACGUCAUUUCUUCCUACGAUGUCUCUGCAUAAAUUUUCAAUUGUAUUCAGCACUUACAUAUAUGAUAAAAAAAGAUUUGGGUCGGAUUUAAUUCGUUAUGCAUUUGACAUAUUAACAUUACUUACGAUUAGAAGGCAAUGUUAGGAACAAACGAAAUAAUCUUUCUAAGUGAACCAAUACUUUAUUCCCUCAAUACAACAGGCAUAAAUAAUAUGUAUUCACAUAGGUAUAAAAGAGAAAAAACAUACAUGUAUAAAAUUAUAUUGAUCACUUCUACUGAAAUCAUAUCGUGUAUUGCAUUUGCACAAAUCUUUCUAUCCACUACAAAUUCACUUUUUGCGAUUAUAAUAUAAUGACCAACUCAGAACUGGUUUAAAAGAAGGUCGUCCAAAAUGUGUCACAUCAAAGUCACAUACAUGUAUCAGUAUCGUUAUGGUAAAACGCGUCAAAUGUAAUUGUAUUAAAUAAACAAUUCAUAUUUAAGUAUCAUAAAAAACAUCCACAGAUAUGCAUCUUCUAAGCAGAUGUCAGGUAUUCCAAAUUGCUUCAUGUAUUCCGAAUCGAAACAAUGGCAGUAUUUGGUUACAUCAACCUUAUACUAGUAUCAAACCGGCUUUACCCUCUUCUGUUUUUCAUUACACUUUUAUUGCACGUAUAUGUGAUUGUUUGGCAAGGUACUUCGACGUAAUCUUUUUUGUUUGAUUGGUGGGUUUUCAUGUACCUAUCGCAUUCUAGAGCGGUACACACUUCGUUACGCCGUCUUUUUUAAUCUUGGCAUCCUCAACAUAUAUAACUGGCGUCUAGAUAUCUGGAAAAAGUAAGCAUAGUAUUCCGUUGGAUGCAUAUUCAAACAUAAGUAUGUCCAUAUGUGUUAAAAUAAACAGGUAAGAAUUACACUGUGUUUAUAAUACCGUCGAAUGUCUUAUAUUACACACACUAAAUGUUAGCGUUAAGUACGCGAUAAAACAUAUAAUAAUACAAAUAUAUAAUAAAACAAUUAAUAGAAAAAAGAAAACUCUUGAUUUCUUCAAAUGAAAAUGUUUUCCAAGACAUUCGCACCAAUGCGGAAUUCAUUCACGAAAGUUAUUUCGCAUAAAACCUUGUAACAUAGGAAAGAGCUGUUAAUCAUUUGGAAGUCAGGUCCCAAAAUGUGCUUAAAAGGAAGUUUAGUUCCAAAAAUGGGGGUUAACCCGUUAUAAUUAGGCAUUAAAUGAAUUAAUAGACAUAGCAACGCGUCGAGAUAAUAAAAUAUUCGUGAUUUAUGUUACAUUUUACUGUUCACAUGCACAAAUACUGUUUAUUAUGAGAGAAAAUGAUAUUCGAACAUCCAACAUCUCGAAGGUCAAGAAAUUAAACAACACAUUUGUCGACGGUUUUGCUUCAAUAACUUUUUUAUUCCGACGUCUACGGUUUUGAAACAAAAAACCGAGGGGAGCACAAACACCGUAGAGCCGAAAGAGCUUAUUCAUUUAAAAGAAAUAUAAAUAUAAACUGGUUUACCGGGUGAAAAUAUCCGCUACUCCUUCACGAAAAACACUUAAACGACGCCAUCUUUGAAGUUUUGCAACAACUCACUUAAACGCGGUAAGCUCCCGUAUACGCGUGCCCCCCUGAAUAAGGGACUUUUAUAUGUGCUAGUAUGUGGACAAUUGCGCAAAUUUGGUCGAUUAUUUAUGACUGUCUGUCCGUCUGUAUGGAACAUGAUUAAACAUUUCAGAAGAA